UGUUUCAGCCUGACUGUCUCAGUACAGAGCAGAUGGCCAAGGGGCAAGGACAGUGGUGGUGCCACAUUGUCACCUAUCCUGCCCUGCUUGGUGUAUCCCAGGGCUGAACCACCCAAUCUUCUUGAACUCAGAGAGCAGGGGCUCUGGCACCUGGGUGCUUGGCCUUGGUGACUGGUGGAGGGGCCAAGCACCUGCGUCUGUUCACAGGGCCCGGCGAGCUGCCAAGGAGGCCAAAGAAGCCCCCGCCCAGCCUGCACCAGAGAAGGUCAAGGUGGAGGUGAAGAAGUUUGUGAAGAUUGGCCGCCCUGGCUACAAAGUGACCAAGCAGAGGGACACAGAGAUGGGCCAGCAGAGCCUACUGUUCCAGAUUGACUACCCUGAGAUUGCAGAGGGUGUCAUGCCCCGCCACCGCUUCAUGUCUGCCUAUGAGCAGAGGAUCGAGCCCCCGGACCGCCGCUGGCAGUACCUCCUCAUGGCUGCUGAGCCCUAUGAGACCAUCGCCUUCAAGGUGCCGAGCCGCGAGAUCGACAAGGCUGAGGGCAAGUUUUGGACCCACUGGAACCGAGAGACCAAGCAGUUUUUUCUUCAGUUCCACUUUAAGAUGGAGAAGCCCCCAGCCCCUCCCAGCCUCCCAGCAGGACCCCCAGGCGUCAAGCGGCCCCCGCC
rnacentral:lncRNA from 1 species